CGUCCAAUAAUCCUUUUAUAUGGCUGAUGAUAACACAACUAGACCGUACGGAAACUAGAUUAAAAAAAGUGCACAGCCUCUGUAAUCAAAAUCAUAUAGCAUUAAAAAAUGUUAAAGGAAUGCUAAAGAAAGAUGAAAUGACGGAAAUUAAAUCGAAAGUCCAAAGUUUGGAAGAUUGCUGUAAGAAACAGAAGACACAAAUAACAAGUUUAGAAUCAAAUGUUAGUAUUCAAAAGAGAGAAUGCAGAAGUAUCCAAGCUCAACAAAGAGCGGUUACCUCAAUAUUUGAUAAAAUGCAGAAGAAAUGACGGACAUGCAGUUAGAAAUACUGGAUUUGAAGAAAAGAACAUGUCCACAGGACUGGAUGUUUUUUAUGGAUCAUUGCUAUUUGUUCGUGUAUAAGAAGGUGACAUGGAAUACUGCUAAGAAUGAAUGCCAACAAAAAAGUGGUUACUUGGUGAAGGUUGAAAGUGAAGCAGAGAAUUCAUGGUUGAUUUCAGCAUUGAAUGCUGAAUGAGUGAUAUCCAGACGGAAGGACAGUGGAGGUAGGCGUCUGAUAAUACUGGGAUAAUCUUUAGUUACUGGCAACCUCGUGAACCAAAUAGCGGAAGGAGAGAAAACUGCGUAAAUUAUUGGAAGACUAUAUGUGGACUGAACGCUUAUGGAUGAUAUGAUCUUCCAUGCAACUAUUCAAUAGGAUAUGUCUGUGAAAAAACAACUUAAAAUAUUAAAUAUAAGCAUAUCAAA